rfam:Triticum urartu cultivar G1812 contig617747, whole genome shotgun sequence.
AGGCAUCCCCUUUGCUUGAUUACGAUGGCUAUGGAGGUGUAACUUUAGCUCGAAGAGUAAAUCUUCUGCUCUUAAGAUUAUCUGUGGUGGAGGUUCCUUGAAGCUGGUCUAGUAGUCUUAAGAACAUU